CUUGUUGUGACCUUGAACUUGAAGAUGCAGAGAUGCUGAAUGAAAACUUGUCAGUACGACAGUAGCCUGUUGUUGAAAUGAUUUCAAUUUAUAUAUAUGAUUGACAUAUCCAUAGGACAUGCAGUUAGCCUAGACAAAUAGGAAGAGAAAGGUCUCUGAUUUAAUUCUCUGUGAAGUUCAAGGUCUUUCUUAGUCUAAAUAUGGGAAGAUUUGAAAGGAUACAUAGAAAUCUUGGAGGACAAAUUGACUUGAGUCUUAAAAGACACAGAUAUGAAGAUAAACAAGAGGAAAAGAAUGCCAAACAUAGUUUAAAGGACUGCAUACUUCCUGAUAUCUUUCAAAUUAUUGUGUCUUUUUGGUAUAAAUGUAAUA